GGCGAGCGGCAGAGCCGGGCAGCAGCGGCCGCGGCAGCAGCGCAGCGCCGCCUUCCCUUCUCCGCCGGGUGUUACCGCCGCCGGCCCCCGGUGCCGCUCCGGCAGCGACACAGCCGCCGGGGUGCCGCUCCCUCUCCCCCUCCCGCCUCCCUCCCUCUGCUGCGGCUUUCUCUCCUCCUCCGGCCCCUCUGCCAGCCCCCUCCCUCUCUCCCUCCCUCCUUCCCUUCCCCCUUUAUUUUUCUCCGCAAGACUUUGGCUCUGGAAGCAGCUGGUUCAAAGCAAUCGCCAUGUGAUGAGCGUCUGGGUCGGGUUUUUUUUUUUCAUUUGGGGGGGGGGGAGGGUGCAGGUUUCUGAUCGCAGAGAAAUUUAUUAAUAAGAAUUUCCGAAACAACAGCAGCAGCAACAACAAGAGCAACACCUCCCCCCCCCCUUCCCUAAACCUCCUCAGCCGUAACAGCCUCCCUCCCCCCCACCCCCGGGCCCGCUCCACCCCGCCCCACGCCCUCCCCCCCACCUUUGGCUGCAGCAGGAGGGGCGACCCCCGAAAGUUGCGCGGAGGCGAGGCUGGUAAUUGAUGAGAUUCUGCUGUAGACGGUGGAAUGCUCUGCAGCUUGAAGAGGGUGGUGGUGCUUGGGUAAAUUGACUUCUUCAGAGCGAUGAGGCAAGAGAGAAGUUUUUAAAAGCAGAAAAAUGUGAUUGCAUAAACAUCAUUGUUGGCAGGAGGACUCGGUGGAUUCAGAUACAACUAUAGGUGCUGCUUGAAUGAAAGAGCCGAGCCACACCAUCCAGUAGACCGUCUAGAGCAGCCGUUGACUUGCUUGGAAAUUGCUUCCAGGACCAC